rnacentral:rRNA from 1 species
GAUGAACGCUGGCGGCGUGCCUAAUACAUGCAAGUCGAGCGAACAGACGAGGAGCUUGCUCCUCUGACGUUAGCGGCGGACGGGUGAGUAACACGUGGAUAACCUACCUAUAAGACUGGGAUAACUUCGGGAAACCGGAGCUAAUACCGGAUAAUAUAUUGAACCGCAUGGUUCAAUAGUGAAAGACGGUUUUGCUGUCACUUAUAGAUGGAUCCGCGCCGCAUUAGCUAGUUGGUAAGGUAACGGCUUACCAAGGCAACGAUGCGUAGCCGACCUGAGAGGGUGAACGGACACACUGGAACUGAGACACGGUCCAGACUCCUACGGGAGGCAGCAGUAGGGAAUCUUCCGCAAUGGGCGAAAGCCUGACGGAGCAACGCCGCGUGAGUGAUGAAGGUCUUCGGAUCGUAAAACUCUGUUAUUAGGGAAGAACAAAUGUGUAAGUAACUAUGCACGUCUUGACGGUACCUAAUCAGAAAGCCACGGCUAACUACGUG